rnacentral:rRNA from 1 species
CAGUCGCCGCGGGAAUACAGAGGGUGCGAGCGUUAAUCGUAUUUACUGGGCGUAAAGCGUGCGUAGGCGGCUUCUUAAGUCGGAUGUGAAAUCCCUGAGCUUAACUUAGGAAUUGCAUUCGAUACUGGGAAGCUAGAGUAUGGGAGAGGAUGGUAGAAUUCCAGGUGUAGCGGUGAAAUGCGUAGAGAUCUGGAGGAAUACCGAUGGCGAAGGCAGCCAUCUGGCCUAAUACUGACGCUGAGGUACGAAAGCAUGGGGAGCAAACAGGAUUAGAUACCCCCGUAGUCCCUGUCUCUUAUAC